rnacentral:misc_RNA from 1 species
AAAGUCGUAACAAGGUCUCCGUUGGUGAACCAGCGGAGGGAUCAUUAGCGAGUUUUCAAGCUCCAAACCCCUGUGAACAAGUCCCAAAGACGCUGUCUCGGCGGGUAGCUAGCGGGCUCGUCCCGCUAGCGUGCCCGGCCGUCCAGGCCUGGCGCCCGCCGGAGGUAGCAAACAAGCUCUUAAUUACUUUUUAUUUCAAUAACUGCAAAAGAAAAUAAGCAAAACUUUCAACAACGGAUCUCUUGGCUCUG